AUGAACGCUGGCGGCGUGCCUAAUACAUGCAAGUCGAGCGCACGGACGAGAAGCUUGCUUCUCUGAUGUUAGCGGCGGACGGGUGAGUAACACGUGGAUAACCUACCUAUAAGACUGGGAUAACUUCGGGAAACCGGAGCUAAUACCGGAUAAUAUUUUGAACCGCAUGGUUCAAAAGUAAAAGACGGUCUUGCUGUCACUUAUAGAUGGAUCCGCGCUGCAUUAGCUAGUUGGUAAGGUAACGGCUUACCAAGGCAACGAUGCAUAGCCGACCUGAGAGGGUGAUCGGCCACACUGGAACUGAGACACGGUCCAGACUCCUACGGGAGGCAGCAGUAGGGAAUCUUCCGCAAUGGGCGAAAGCCUGACGGAGCAACGCCGCGUGAGUGAUGAAGGUCUUCGGAUCGUAAAACUCUGUUAUUAGGGAAGAACAUAUGUGUAAGUAACUGUGCACAUCUUGACGGUACCUAAUCAGAAAGCCACGGCUAACUACGUG
rnacentral:rRNA from 1 species